rnacentral:rRNA from 1 species
CCUACGGGGGGCUGCAGUGAGGAAUAUUGGUCAAUGGGCGGGAGCCUGAACCAGCCAAGUCGCGUGAAGGAAGAAGGUACUUAGUAUUGUAAACUUCUUUUGUCGGGGAACAAAGGCGGAGACGCGUCUCCGGAUGAGUGUACCCGAAGAAAAAGCAUCGGCUAACUCCGGGCCAGCAGCCGCGGUCAUACGUAGGAUCCGAGAAUUAUCCGGAGUGACUGGGUGUAAAGAGUUGCGUAGGUGGCAUAAUAAGUAGCUAGUGAAAUCUGGUGGCUCAACCAUUCAGACUAUUAGCUAAACUGUUAAGCUCGAGACCGUUAGGGGUAACUGGAAUUUCUAGUGUAGGAGUGAAAUCCGUAGAUAUUAGAAGGAACACCAAUAGCGUAGGCAGGUUACUGGGACGGUUCUGACACUAAGGCACGAAAGCGUAGGGAGCAAACGGGAUUAGAUACCCGAGUAGUC